UGUACCAGGCUAUGAGACUA
rnacentral:siRNA from 1 species